rnacentral:rRNA from 1 species
CGCCGGAGGAACCAACCAAACUCUUUCUGUAGUCCCCUCGCGGACGUAUUUCUUACAGCUCUGAGCAAAAAUUCAAAAUGAAUCAAAACUUUCAACAACGGAUCUCUUGGUUCUGGCAUCGAUGAAGAACGCAGCGAAAUGCGAUAAGUAAUGUGAAUUGCAGAAUUCAGUGAAUCAUCGAAUCUUUGAACGCACAUUGCGCCCGCCAGUAUUCUGGCGGGCAUGCCUGUCCGAGCGUCAUUUCAACCCUCGAACCCCUCCGGGGGAUCGGCGUUGGGGAUCGGGACCCCUCACCGGGUGCCGGCCCUGAAAUACAGUGGCGGUCUCGCCGCAGCCUCUCCUGCGCAGUAGUUUGCACAACUCGCACCGGGAGCGCGGCGCGUCCACGUCCGUAAAACACCCAACUUCUGAAAUGUUGACCUCGGAUCAGGUAGGAAUACCCGCUGAACUUAAGCAUAUCAAUAAGCGGAGGGAAAAAACCAACCC